rnacentral:rRNA from 1 species
GGCGACCACCGAGAGCUACACUCUUUCCCUACACGACGCUCUUCCGAUCUGGAACAGCCGGCCAUAGACGGUGAGAGCCCGGUAGGCGACACAGUCGGAGACUUGCGGUCAGGCACCCAAGUACCACGGGACACGAGUAAUCUUGUGGGAAUCUGGGAGGACCACCUCCUAAGGCUAAAUACUCUUUGCCACCGAUAGCGAACCAGUACCGUGAGGGAAAGGUGAAAAGCACCCCGGGAGGGGAGUGAAAUAGUACCUGAAACCAUGUCGCUUACAAGCAGUCGGAGGGCUAUGCUCCGGUUUACCGGAGAAUGCCUGACGGCGUGCCUUUUGCAGAAUGAGCCUGCGAGUUACUUUGCGUUGCAAGGUUAAGUCCUUCAGGGACGGAGCCGAAGCGAAAGCGAGUCCGAAUAGGGCGUGCCGCCUCGUGCGGUUAGUAGCGCGGAGUAGACCCGAAACCGGGUGAUCUACCCAUGGCCAGGAUGAAAUUGCGGUAACACGCAACGGAGGUCCGAACCAGUGUCGGUUGAAGACGGCUUGGAUGAGCUGUGGGUAGGGGUGAAAUGCCAAUCGAACCCGGAGAUAGCUGGUUCUCCUCGAAAUGCAUUUAGGUGCAGCGUCACGUGUUUUGUGCCGCAGGUAGAGCUCUGAAUGGGCUAGGGGCCCCACCAGGUUACCGAACUCAAUCAAACUCCAAAUGGCGGCAUAUAAGAGCGUGGCAGUGAGACAGUGGGGGAUAAGCUUCAUUGUCGAAAGGGAAACAGCCCAGACCAUCGGUUAAGGUCCCAAAGUGUUAGCUAAGUGUGAAAGGAUGUUAGGUUGCGUAGACAACCAGGAUGUUGGCUUAGAAGCAGCCACCAUUUAAAGAGUGCGUAAUAGCUUACUGGUCGAAAGCAACUUAGCGCCGAUAAUGUAAGGGGGCUCAAGCUAACCACCGAAGCCGUGGGGUCCGACUUUGUCGGACCGGUAGAGGAGCGUUGUCUGAGGAGCGAAGCGAUAGCGUAAGCAGUCGUGGACUUCAGACAAGUGAGGAUGCAGGCAUAAGUAGCGAAAAUCGAAGUGAGAAUCUUCGACGCCGAAAAUCUAAGGGUUCUUAAGGAAGGAUCGUCCUCUUGAGUUUAGUCGGGCCUAAGCCGAGGCGUUAAGCGUAGGCGAUGGACAACUGGUUGAUAUUCCAGUACCUGGGAUUCGCGUUAUUACCAAAGGGGGGACACGGAUAUUAAACCCAAGCACGGGGUUGGUUGACCGUGUUCUUGCGUAGGGCUGCCGGGCAGGCAAAUCCACCCGGCACAAGGCCUGGCGCAAGACGAAGCGGCGUGGAAACACAAUGCCAAGUGGGUGUACUGUCCGUCGAGAAAAGCCUCUAGGGAGUGGAUUCUGGACCGUACCGUAAACCGACACAGGUGGAUGGGUAGAGGAUACUAAGGCGCGCGAGAUAACUCUCGUUAAGGAACUAGGCAAGUUAACCCCGUAACUUCGGGAGAAGGGGUGCCCCGGCGGGACGCGGCUUUGACGCCGUGGGUUCGUUGGGGUCGCAGUGACAAGGCUCGAGCGACUGUUUAACAAAAACACAGGUCUCUGCUAAAGCGAAAGCUGACGUAUAGGGGCUGACACCUGCCCAAUGCCAGAAGGUUAACAGGAGAGGUUAGGGGUAACCCGAAGCUUUGAAUCGAAGCCCUGGUGAAUGGCGGCCGUAACUAUAACGGUCCUAAGGUAGCGAAAUUCCUUGUCGGGUAAG